UCCUCUAGGAACUCACAGGUUUAUAAGAGAAGCAGGAAAAAGUGGAGGAAGUGGAAGGAAGCCAAAGCAUCCCUCCUUUCACUUUCACUGACCACUGAGUGGGUCUCGCUGGGUCUCAGUGAAAAGAAAGCUGUUUCUACUGCUUUAACCCUUUCCAAUGCAUGUCCCUUUAGACAGAGUAACCCCUGUGAGCUGGUAAUCAAACAGAAUUUUAUUCAAGUGAAACAAACAAUGGAGAAAUAUGGAGUACCCCAAAUUUCCUCCCUUUAAUUUGCACAUUUUGAAGUGCAGAUAUUAGUAAGUAGUUUAUUUACAUGAACAUACAGGAACUUUAACCUUUAAGAGUUUGUAAAAUACGGCUUAGUUUAAAUGCAUUUAUUUGUCUAAAAUUCCUGGUAGUUAAUUGUACUUUUUUUUUUGGCAAGUUUUCACUUGAAAUCUCAAAGUACUUUAAAGUAAGAUGGCAUUAAAAACAGCAACAGGAAUAAGCCGACGUGUCUUAAGGGCUUACCAUGUUUAGACACUAAGUGCUGUUAACAUAUAUCACUAUUUACUCCUUGAACUCGUCCUAUUUGUUAUUAUAUACACACCAUAUACUGUAUUAUUAUUAUUGUCUCAGCUUCACCGAUAAGGAACCCUAGCUUGGUGAGUUCUGAAUUGCUGGCAGAUUAGGGAGGAAUGGACAGUGGAACCCAGCCCUGGCUGUGCCCAGACCCCCUCUCCUCUGCAACACUGUCUGCCUCUGAGGCGCGUGGAGUCCUUCUCCAGCUCUUCAAAGCGUUGCAGGUCCAUGUUGUCCCAACAGAAUUUAAAGGUGCAGGCCAGCAUCACCUGCAAAGUCCCAGGUUGGAAGAGAACCUCGUCUACACUUCUACAGGCAGAUAAGGUCAGAAGUACAUUUUCCAGUCCAGGAGAGGUUGUCUACUAUUGGGAGAGACACUGUUUAUUUUUGAGCUGUGAAAGGAGAAAUCUUUUGUUGGCUUGAAUCCUACAAGACAUCUGCCCAGGUUCAUUCAG
rnacentral:lncRNA from 1 species